rnacentral:rRNA from 1 species
UACGAAGGGGGCUAGCGUUGCUCGGAAUCACUGGGCGUAAAGCGCACGUAGGCGGCUUUCUAAGUCAGGGGUGAAAUCCUGGAGCUCAACUCCAGAACUGCCUUUGAUACUGGAGAGCUCGAGUCCGGAAGAGGUGAGUGGAACUGCGAGUGUAGAGGUGAAAUUCGUAGAUAUUCGCAAGAACACCAGUGGCGAAGGCGGCUCACUGGCCCGAUACUGACGCUGAGGUGCGAAAGCGUGGGGAGCAAACAGGG